UACGUAGGGUGCGAGCGUUGUCCGGAAUCAUUGGGCGUAAAGCGCGUGUAGGCGGCCCGGUAAGUCCGCUGUGAAAGUCCAGGGCUCAACCCUGGGAUGGCGGUGGAUACUGUCGGGCUCGAGUCCGGAAGAGGAGUGUGGAAUUCCUGGUGUAGCGGUGAAAUGCGCAGAUAUCAGGAGGAACACCAAUGGCGAAGGCAGCACUCUGGGACGUGACUGACGCUGAGACGCGAAAGCGUGGGGAGCAAACAGG
rnacentral:rRNA from 1 species